AUUGAACGCUGGCGGCAGGCCUAACACAUGCAAGUCGAGCGGCAGCACGGGAAGCUUGCUUCCUGGUGGCGAGCGGCGGACGGGUGAGUAAUGCAUAGGAAUCUGCCCGAUAGUGGGGGAUAACCUGGGGAAACCCAGGCUAAUACCGCAUACGUCCUACGGGAGAAAGCAGGGGCUCUUCGGACCUUGCGCUAUCGGAUGAGCCUAUGUCGGAUUAGCUAGUUGGUGAGGUAAUGGCUCACCAAGGCGACGAUCCGUAGCUGGUCUGAGAGGAUGAUCAGCCACAUCGGGACUGAGACACGGCCCGAACUCCUACGGGAGGCAGCAGUGGGGAAUAUUGGACAAUGGGCGCAAGCCUGAUCCAGCCAUGCCGCGUGUGUGAAGAAGGCCCUCGGGUUGUAAAGCACUUUCAGUGGGGAAGAAAGCCUUGGGGCUAAUACCCUCGAGGAAGGACAUCACCCACAGAAGAAGCACCGGCUAACUCCGUGCCAGCAGCCGCGGUAAUACGGAGGGUGCGAGCGUUAAUCGGAAUUACUGGGCGUAAAGCGCGCGUAGGUGGCUUGAUAAGCCGGUUGUGAAAGCCCCGGGCUCAACCUGGGAACGGCAUCCGGAACUGUCAGGCUAGAGUGCAGGAGAGGAAGGUAGAAUUCCCGGUGUAGCGGUGAAAUGCGUAGAGAUCGGGAGGAAUACCAGUGGCGAAGGCGGCCUUCUGGACUGACACUGACACUGAGGUGCGAAAGCGUGGGUAGCAAACAGGAUUAGAUACCCUGGUAGUCCACGCCGUAAACGAUGUCGACUAGCCGUUGGGAGCCUCGAGUUCUUAGUGGCGCAGUUAACGCGAUAAGUCGACCGCCUGGGGAGUACGGCCGCAAGGUUAAAACUCAAAUGAAUUGACGGGGGCCCGCACAAGCGGUGGAGCAUGUGGUUUAAUUCGAUGCAACGCGAAGAACCUUACCUACCCUUGACAUCGUGCGAACUUGGUAGAGAUACCUUGGUGCCUUCGGGAACGCACAGACAGGUGCUGCAUGGCUGUCGUCAGCUCGUGUUGUGAAAUGUUGGGUUAAGUCCCGUAACGAGCGCAACCCUUGUCCCUAUUUGCCAGCGAUUCGGUCGGGAACUCUAGGGAGACUGCCGGUGACAAACCGGAGGAAGGUGGGGACGACGUCAAGUCAUCAUGGCCCUUACGGGUAGGGCUACACACGUGCUACAAUGGUCGGUACAAAGGGUUGCAAAGCGGCGACGUGGAGCUAAUCCCAGAAAGCUGAUCUCAGUCCGGAUCGGAGUCUGCAACUCGACUCCGUGAAGUCGGAAUCGCUAGUAAUCGUGAAUCAGAAUGUCACGGUGAAUACGUUCCCGGGCCUUGUACACACCGCCCGUCACACCAUGGGAGUGGACUGCACCAGAAGUGGUUAGCCUAACUUCGGAGGGCGAUCACCACGGUGUGGUUCAUGACUGGGGUGAAGUCGUAACAAGGUAGCCGUAGGGGAACC
rnacentral:rRNA from 1 species